rnacentral:rRNA from 1 species
GGGUGCAAUCAUACCAGCACUAAUGCACCGGAUCCCAUCAGAACUCCGCAGGUAAACGUGCUUGGGCGAGAGUAGUACUAGGAUGGGUGACCCCCUGGGAAGUCCUUGUGUUGCACCCC